GCGGGUCGGGUCAACCGGGUCGAAUAAUUUUGCACACCCUUAGCGACAAUCCUCUGGCUUAUCUAGUUGGUGACCACACUUAAUAUAGCUAUCAUAAGGUGGUUAUUCCAUUACAUCAGCUGAGGGCAGUGAAUCCAUCGGCUAGCAAAGCCAACCCUGCCGAGAAAUACAUACAGGUUAUAUCAGUUGACAACCAUGAAUUCUGGUUCAUGGGGUUUGUACACUACGACAAUGCUGUUAAGAAUCUUCAAGGUGCAUUGCAGCCCCGUAGCUCUUGACUCGACUUAUC